UAAAAGGUGGUGUAGGGGGAACACAAAGAGUUUUGAUCUCUUAAUAAAAGGUUCAAAUCCUUUUCUUUUAA
rnacentral:tRNA from 1 species